UACGUAGGGUCCGAGCGUUGUCCGGAAUUAUUGGGCGUAAAGGGCUCGUAGGCGGUUUGUCGCGUCGGGAGUGAAAACCUACAGCUUAACUGUGGGCUUGCUUUCGAUACGGGCAGACUUGAGGCAUGCAGGGGAGAACGGAAUUCCUGGUGUAGCGGUGAAAUGCGUAGAGAUCUGGAAGAACACCAAAGGCGAAGGCAGCGUUCUGGCUCGUAACUGACGCUCAUGUGCGAAAGCCAGGGGAGCGAACGGG
rnacentral:rRNA from 1 species